UCUCAUUCUGCUGUAAACUGGAGUUACAUACAACUUCGUUUUACCUUCAUAAAUACUGCUCUUUUGAUUUCCUAUAUAAUUAGCUAGAUCUGAUAUCUCGUGUUCUUGUUUUUCUAGUUGGAGAAGAUUCAGAAAGAAACUGCUCUCCUUCAAGAACUGGAAGAUCUAGAACUGGGUCUCUAAAGCUUCGUGUAAUAAUCCUCUUCCUGCCUCAGCGCUCUGAAGGCGCAAAGGGCUUUCGAACUGUGGACGGCAGCAAGUCUGCCGGGAAAGGAGCGUUGGAGGCGUUCAGGAGAUGUCCUCACCCACGCGGCGCUGCCGCGGGA
rnacentral:lncRNA from 1 species